rnacentral:rRNA from 1 species
GAUGAACGCUGGCGGCGUGCCUAAUACAUGCCAGUCGAGCGAACGGACGAGAAGCUUGCUUCUCUGAUGUUAGCGGCUGACGGGUGAGUAACACGUGGAUAACCUACCUAUAAGACUGGGAUAACUUCGGGAAGCCGUAGCUAAUACCGGAUAAUAUUUUGAACCGCAUGGUUCAAAAGUGAAAGACGGUCUUGCUGUCACUUAUAGAUGGAUCCGCGCUGCAUUAGCUAGUUGGUAAGGUAACGGCUUACCAAGGCAACGAUGCAUAGCCGACCUGAGAGGGUGAUCGGCCACACUGGAACUGAGACACGGUCCAGACUCCUACGGGAGGCAGCAGUAGGGAAUCUUCCGCAAUGGGCGAAAGCCUGACGGAGCAACGCCGCGUGAGUGAUGAAGGUCUUCGGAUCGUAAAACUCUGUUAUUAGGGAAGAACAGAUGUGUAAGUAACUGUGCACAUCUUGACGGUACCUAAUCAGAAAGCCACGGCUAACUACGUG